rnacentral:rRNA from 1 species
UACGGAGGGUGCAAACGUUGCUCGGAAUCACUGGGCGUAAAGCGCACGUAGGCGGAUUGCUAAGUCAGGGGUGAAAUCCUGGAGCUCAACUCCAGAACUGCCUUUGAUACUGGCGGUCUCGAGUCCGGGAGAGGUGAGUGGAACUGCGAGUGUAGAGGUGAAAUUCGUAGAUAUUCGCAAGAACACCAGUGGCGAAGGCGGCUCACUGGCCCGGUACUGACGCUGAGGUGCGAAAGCGUGGGGAGCAAACAGG